UACAGAGGUCCCAAGCGUUGUUCGGAUUCACUGGGCGUAAAGGGUGCGUAGGCGGUCGGGUAAGUCUGAUGUGAAAUCUCACAGCUUAACUGUGAAACUGCAUUGGAUACUAUCCGGCUCGAGGAAUGGAGGGGAGACUGGAAUACUUGGUGUAGCAGUGAAAUGCGUAGAUAUCAAGUGGAACACCAGUGGCGAAGGCGGCCUUCUGGACCAGUACUGACGCUCAUGCACGAAAGCGUGGGGAGCAAACAGG
rnacentral:rRNA from 1 species